GAGGGUGCAGCUCAGUGGGAGAGUGCGUGCUUAGCACGCACGAGGUCCUGGGUUCAAUCCCCCGUGCCUCCG
rnacentral:tRNA from 1 species